rfam:Pelodiscus sinensis unplaced genomic scaffold scaffold3266, whole genome shotgun sequence.
GCCGAGCCCCGUGACUUGCUUGUGAUCCUAAGGCCAGAGCAGGCUGAGGCCAGCUAAUCGCUUGAGCUCAGGAGUCCUGGGCUGCAGGAGGCUGCGCUGAGCGAGUGUCCGCGCUAAGGGCAGCAUUGACAGGGGUGGGAUCCUUAGAUAGCCGGGGGUCACCAGGUUGCCUAAGGAGGGGCGAACUGGCCCAGGUUGGGAUCGAAGCAGGUCAAAGCUCCCGUGUCUUUCAGUAGUGGGAUUGCGCCUUUGAGCAGCCCCUGCAGCGCAGCCUGGGUGAGACAGGGAGACCCGGCCUCUU